CGUCAAUUCAAUCCCCACCAUCGAACUACUGGAAAAUUCCAUCCAAGCGGUGCGGCGCCGGGUAACUAAGACACCCACGUGACUGAGUUUCCAUUUGUCCGCGUUUGAGUGAAACAGAGACACCAGCACGUCCGACCGCUGCCUUUCUGCCCGCUGUUUCACCUGAUUUGGGGUCUCCGCUUUCCAAAUUGUGGCAAUCUGAGAAAGGAGGUCACGGUGUACCUCAGACUGCUUCUCCCCGGUCUGGGGGCUUUCCUUAACCAGGGAAUAGUCAAAGAAUCACUGACAAAACAAGCAAAACCGCACCGCUGUCCAAGAGCUUCGGAUAUGUGCUUCCUUGUGUUGAAAAGAUCACCUAGGAGUUUCAGUGCUCUGGAAGAGUUUGAGAAAUGAUGGAAGAAGUGUGGAACAACACGUAGGUCUGGCUGCCAGUUUCCUUCACCAACAUUCAUAAAUUUGAGGUGCACAGAGAAACUUGGAUUUAUGAUGAGAAGAUUCUGCAAGUUAUAGUUGCAAUAAUCUCUGGCGCAGUUUAAAGAAAGAGAAGCAUGGAUAAAAUUAAAUUGCUCAGAUAAUUGAAAAAAGAAAGAAAUUUGCAAAUUAUACCAUUUCCUUGGAUGCUGCAGUAAAAUAGAGAUACUAUAAUGAGACUCACCACAGGGGGCAGUGGUGAAAGAUAGCCUAUUGACGACUAGAGCACAUUC
rnacentral:lncRNA from 1 species